rnacentral:rRNA from 1 species
GUAAUGGUUCUUAGAUCGUACCCACGUUACUUGGAUAACUGUGGUAAUUCUAGAGCUAAUACAUGCCGACAGAGUUCCGACCAACUGUACGGAUUUGGCGGCAGUUUCGGCUGUCGUCGCCGUACGGUUCGGAAGGAACGCUUUUAUUAGAUCAAAACCGGCUAAACGGCGGUUUCGCUUUCGGGCGUCUCCGUCGUAAGCGGCCCGCGCAAAGAUUUGGUGACUCUGAAUAACUUCGAGCUGAUCGCACGGUCUUUGUACCGGCGACGUAUCUUUCAAAUGUCUGCCUUAUCAACUGUCGACGGUAGGUUCGACGCCUACCGUGGUGGUAACGGGUAACGGGGAAUCAGGGUUCGAUUCCGGAGAGGGAGCCUGAGAAACGGCUACCACAUCCAAGGAAGGCAGCAGGCGCGCAAAUUACCCACUCCCAGCUCGGGGAGGUAGUGACGAAAAAUAACGAUACGGGACUCAUUCGAGGCCCCGUAAUCGAAGAAUAACCCACUUUAAC